rnacentral:rRNA from 1 species
UGUCGACCUCAGAUCAAGCGAGAUUACCCCCUGAAU